CCUUAGAGUUUGUUCCUGGCUCCAGACGAAACGCGGGCGGCGUCCUUAAUACCAUGCAAGUCGAGCGGAGAUUGCUUGAAGGGAUUUUUCUGGAAAAGCAAUUUUAGCGGCGGACGGGUGAGUAACGCGUGAGCAAUCUGGCCUUUACAGGGGGAUAACACAGGGAAACUUGUACUAAUACCGCAUAUUAUUAUUUAAUCGCAUGAUUGAGUGAUGAAAGUGGAAACACGGUAAAGGGGGAGCUCGCGUUCUAUUAGAUAGUUGGUGGGGUAACGGCCUACCAAGUCAACGAUAGAUAGCCGACCUGAGAGGGUGAUCGGCCACACUGGAACUGAGACACGGUCCAGACUUCUACGGAAGGCAGCAGUAGGGAAUAUUGGGCAAUGGGCGAAAGCCUGACCCAGCAACGCCGCGUGAGGGAAGAAGGUUCUCGGAUUGUAAACCUCUAUCCUUGGUGAAGAAUAUGACGGUAACUCAUGAAUAAGCACCGGCUAACUACGUGCCAGCAGCCGCGGUCAUACGUAGGGUGCAAGCAUUAUCCGGAGUGACUGGGCGUAAAGAGUUGCGUAGGUGGACAAAUAAGUGAAUAGUGAAAGCCGAUGGCUCAACCAUUCGGACUAUUAUUCAAACUGUUUGUCUCGAGAGUAGCAGAGGUAACUGGAAUUUCUUGUGUAGGAGUGAAAUCCGUAGAUAUAAGAAGGAACACCAAUGGCGUAGGCAGGUUACUGGGCUAUUUCUGACACUAAGGCACGAAAGCGUGGGGAGCGAACCGGAUUAGAUACCCGGGUAGUCCACGCCGUAAACGAUGGAUACUAGCUGUUGGAGGUAUCGACCCCUUCAGUAGCGAAGCUAAC
rnacentral:rRNA from 1 species